AAAAAAACAGGCCUUCUCUUCCCAGUUCUUCUGGAGUAGGGAAAAGUUGGGUUGAGAGGGUGGGAAAAAACAAAA
rnacentral:pre_miRNA from 1 species